UUGUGAUCACAUUUCCACUCCGUUCCACUACUCCAUUCCAGGUUUCUUUGUAUGGCAAAGAAAUCGGUAGCACAUCAAUUCACUGUGGAAUAGCUUUCUUUCAGUCACCUUACUGAUCUGAGCAUCAGGUGGGGGAGGGGGAGCAUUUACUCUAACGCUCCAUUUAACCAGAGAAGACUCAACCCAUCUCUGCAAUUUCUCUGGCACUCCCAAAUGGUUGCUACUGGAGAUUCAAAGAUUUCUCAAACAUGAAAAAAAUCAAAGCAACACUCCAGCAGUUGGUGCGCCUCCAAACCCUGGAGCACGAGGGGUCCUGAUGAGUGUAAUCAGCGCCAGACUGAAUUGGACCAAACACAUGGAGAGUUUUUCACAGUUGGUGCUUAAUCAUGAUGCUUGAUCAUCAGCUCUGCAAGCUGUUGCCUCUGCCAAACAGGACCUGCUGCUGCUGAUCCCUGAAGGAACUCUGAAGUCAUCUGAUUGGCCCAUGAACAGCCCAGGAGGGGAGCAGCUGUUUUGAUGUCAAACCCAAACAAGGAAAAAAAUCUACCUGAGGUUUAUAGUCUGUGGAUUUAAAGUCACCAAUCUAGUCAGGAGAUUUCUUUUAGUAAGGAUGAACUUGGUGAGCAAGCAUGUGGGGACAUCACACUAAAAUCAGAGCUAGUCAAAUACCGCUAAGAAGUGAAGCUGUACACACUGCUUACUUUCUCCCCCUUCCUUUAUUACAAAAUUUUAAAGGGGACACCGAAAGAAUGGAGAUUAAUUGAGUCAAAGAGUUACACAACCUACUGAGUGGUCCACUCUCUAUGGUGCCAGUUCAUAAAAACAGUACUGGCAAAGCAUUUGUGUCAACUUGAUCCGUUUCAAUAGUGUAAAGAGAGAGCUACGUAUCUCCUAUGCCAGUAGAAAUAACCUCUAAAUGCAGCUUCAGUGUUUUUCUCCUGAUACUGCCAGAAUCUUCUGGCAGUAUCCAUGGCAUCCUGACAGCUAUAGAUUUUGAACAUUCAUAACUCUAUUUGACAGGUAUGGCCAAUAAAGCUGAGUCAUAAAAGACAAGCCAAUGCUUAAUAUUUCUACACAGAGAAUUAUUAUUUAUCUGAGCUAAUGAUAGUAAACUUGGUCACUGAACAGGACAAGUAGCAAUUCCCCAUGGGACUGCAGCAUAACUUUUAAUGUAAAAUAUAGUCCUUUGAGCAGCUUUGUCCUGUUAAGUGCUUUGAAAUGACUCUUGUUGUCAACUAGCGCCAUACAAAGAAACUGAACCUUAAUUAUACACAUAAUCAUAUCCUUCCUUGAAAAGAUGUGAGGCUUAAGCUAAAACAAUCUACUUCUGAUAUACAUAAACAAAGAGGGAUUUUUAGAAGCUUUUGGAUGUUAGUAAUGUAAUUUUUUGUCCAUGUCAUGCAAGUUAUGGGCCUCCAUGAAGAAGAAACAAAAACUGAAAUGAUUUUUAAUUAUGCACAACUUAAUAGAAGAUUUUAGUCUAAGUUUUACUUUGUGUUUUGACUUACUUCAAUACGGCGGACCUAGAUUCAUUUUUAGAUAUUACCACUUGUACAUUUAUUAUCAAGAUCACAUCAAUAAAUGCUUGAAGGGCAAAGUGCAAUUUUAUUAUCUUGCCAAAGUGGACUUUGAUACGGAAGAAAAAAAAAAAAAAAAAAAAAAACCUUCCUCCACCUGAGAAACAAUGCUUUCCAUUUAAAGGCACAGUGUAGUGAAAGUACAAAUUCUGUAGUGAUUCAGCACAGAAACAUGGCUCUUAUAGAGAAACGCUGUGCCAAUAAGGCCCAAUCUAAGAGGACUUCUGAGCAGCUGUGUCUGCUCUUACUGGCACUCUAAUAAAAAGAUUUUUCAUUCAUCUUCUUGUGUAUCAUGUUUCCCAAUCUUUAUCAGACGUGAAACACACCUUAGGUAAAAGUUUGAGAGCUGGUCGUUUUCUUGCAUUACACCUACAAUUGAAAUAAGACACUCACAGCUUCCUGGAACCUGGAACCUUCCUGAACCUGUAUGUGAUUUUUAUCUACAUCUAGAUUCAGUUCAGAUUGUUCUGUU